rnacentral:siRNA from 1 species
CUAGUCUUUGAUAAUAGGGAAUAAA